UACGUAGGGUCCAAGCGUUAAUCGGAAUUACUGGGCGUAAAGCGUGCGCAGGCGGUUGUGCAAGACCGAUGUGAAAUCCCCGGGCUUAACCUGGGAAUUGCAUUGGUGACUGCACGGCUAGAGUGUGUCAGAGGGGGGUAGAAUUCCACGUGUAGCAGUGAAAUGCGUAGAGAUGUGGAGGAAUACCGAUGGCGAAGGCAGCCCCUGGGAUAACACUGACGCUCAUAGCUGACGA
rnacentral:rRNA from 1 species